rnacentral:rRNA from 1 species
GAUGAACGCUGGCGGCGUGCCUAAUACAUGCAAGUCGAGCGAAGCGGGGACGGGUGAGUAACACGUGGAUAACCUCCUAUAAGACUGGGAUAACUUCGGGAAACCGGAGCUAAACCGGAUACUUAUAGAUGGAUCCGCGCUGCAUUAGCUAGUUGGUAAGGUAACGGCUAACCUAGGCAACGAUCCCUAGCUGAUCUGAGAGGAUGAUCAGCCACACUGGAACUGAGACACGGUCCAGACUCCUACGGGAGGCAGCAGUGGGGAAUAUUGCACAAUGGGCGAAAGCCUGAUGCAGCCACGCCGCGUGUAUGAAGAAGGUCUUCGGGUUGUAAAGCACUGUCAGCGGGGAAGCGUUACCCGCAGAAGAAGCACCGGCUAACUCCGUGCCAGCAGCCGCGGUAAUUC